CUGAUUAAAAAGCAGGCUCGCAGGCCCUUUUAAAAGCAUUAUUACAUCACUGAAGAAAAUCAAGAUAUAGACAAAUAGACAUUGUUAAUUGGCUUAGGUGCUAAGUAGUUAGUAAAAUGCCCUCCCUACGGGGUGUACCAUCUUAGGUCACUAUCCUCGUCAUGAUUGUCUCCUCCAGGUUUUAGCGCCAUUUUGUUAACAUGAGGAGCUCACUUGACGGGAGGGGCCUUUUGGCAGCUAUCCAUUUAGAGUGUAGCCUGGCACUGUUAGUUUCUCAAGGUUAGGUUUCAAGGCUUUUAGUAAAUACACAUUUUAUCAAAGCUAUUUCUUGCUGACAUGCAAAUUCUAUGUUCUAUAGACAAAGCUUUCUUGUAAAACUAUGGGACCUCUUAGAGGUAUAGCAAGAGGAUUUAAAGGGGCCUUACAGACUUAUAGAGGCCUAAUAAUUCUACAACAGUCCCCCCUUAAAAUGUUAUUUGCUAAAAGACAAAACUUCAUUUGUUAGUAUCAGAAGAUGUGUUAGCCCAAAGACACAGAAACCCCAUGACCGCUGACUUAGUGUUAAUGCAAAGUGCAAGUCUAUCCCUCUCUUGACCCUAACAGACUGCAGCACAUCCGUCAGUACGGUUCAGGAACACUCUUCACUCCGCUGGUAACCCAUAGUGGCUUAUCCACUACUUCUCCGUACGGCAGUCUACCCAUAAAGACGGACGCUGUCCCUGUACUGUCCCUGUACUGGACUUUCUGCACUUCAUCAGCAUACGGGAGAGUUUGUAGCGGAAUACAGGGUGAUGUGAGGUCUUGGUCACCAAUCUCUAGAUGGGCGAAGGUUGGUGUUGCUUGGUCUACAGUUUUCUGCAGGAAUUUCCUUAGGCAUGGGAGGACACAACAAAUGAGAAGAGCGAGAAUAAAAAGAAAAAUUUGUAAGGCAAUACCAAUCUGGACUAAAGCUCUCUGCCAACCAGUCAUCCAACCAAACCAUUUUUCCCAGGGAUCAGUAACUCCAGAGUUUCUCUUCAACUCUUCUGAGAGUUUCUCUAACUUCGCUAUGGCCAUAGUGACUUUACCAUUAGGACCUGUGUUUUCUGGGAUGUAAGUGCAACAAGUCAUGGUGUCAGGUAGUAUUUUACAUACACCCCCCUUUUCAGCUAGAAUCAUGUCCAAGGCCAUUCUGUUCUGGAAGGUCAUCUGGGAUGUGGCCUGCAACUGCUCGGCCAGGCCCUGGAGGGCAUCCCUGGUGUAGUUGACAAAACGCUGUUGGUUGUAAUAAAUGUAGUUAUUCCAAUUAAGGUUUUUGUUGGCAGUGACUAUGGUAAAAAGUGAUUCAAAUCCUACAGCUACUUCAUCUCUAGCUUUAAAUUCAUUAGGCACCCCCCUAGUUACCCCAACGGCAUCUAUGUAAAUGUGGGGGUCAAAACUGCUUUUACUGGGGUUUCGCGCUUCACUCUGGCUGGUGUAUGUGGAGGGUCGUAUGUGUCAUGAUGAUUAUCAGAAAUAAUAUGAAUGGGCAUGAUAACUUUGGCUAGGGUACACUCACCCCACCACUCAGUUUCCAGCCUAGAUCUUAACUGUAGAUCCCCACAUAACCAGUAAAUAUCCCCCAAUGACCUGGUGUGAUGUUGCAACAGACGUAUGGGGACAGUUCUGUAAGUGGCGCAAUAACCUUUAGAAAAAUUACCCAUGAAUUUACCAAUCCCGUCAUACAUGGCAUAACAAGUGUAAUUACCUCUAUAGACUGUGAUUCCAUCUGGUGGCUUAACAUUUUCAACUAAGAGAGGGUAUUCUGCCGUCCAUGCCAUGCAGAGGGACCUAUUAAAGUCAUAUUGGUAGGCAAAAAGGCUUAAGAAGCAAUCUUCUAUCUCUAAAGGGAGAGUUAGGGGGACGGUGCCAAGGUGGGGUCGGGCACCGCCACAUACAUAACAUGCUGUUUUAUUAUGUUUGUUGGCAUUAUACCUCAUCCAUUCUAACCACAAAUUAAUGUCAUUGAAUCCAGUUUCAGCGGCCAUGGUAUCUUCAAAAGUGGGGUUAGCGAUGGGCAUCAUAUCUUUAAAGGACUGGAUAUGUGGUUUUAGCGGAUUUGGGACCAUAUGAUCAGCCCCUUGCCACUCUGGAGAGUGGUACAUAUCUCUGAGGUAGAAAUAACCUAAUUUGUUGUUGGAAUCUUUCUACCUUCUAUACAUUCCCAUUACAUAUCGGUCUGCAUCCUUGGGGCCAGGAUGUUCAAUAUUUAACAUUAAUUUCAUAGGGGUACUUCCUCCAGGCUUUCUUAAAGUCAUUCUUUGAAGGAGGGAUCUACCCUGAUUGUCUAUCUUAGAUAAAGCACUUUUGGGUUUAUAACCCCAGGCAGGCCCAGUAUUCCAUCCCGCAGCCCCCCAGUAGUUACAGUCAUAACCCCAUUGUUCAUCUACUACACAAACGUAAGGGUCUUUUGCUUGUGGUAUAUCUUUAUAAAUGGCUUGAAUCUGUGACUUAGGGAAUGGGCAUUCUACAAUAUCACAGUAAUCAAAGGUGAAUGUAGCCACGUGGGUACAUGAUGAAUUAUACCAGAAAGUGUACCCACUAGCAUCCUUGGUGAUGGCCACCUGCUGGGCUUUAAGGAGGCCAACUAAGGAGAUAAUGUACCAGAGGCACAUGGUUGCAUAGAGUUAGCUUCCUCUGGGGCAGGUGACUUCUUGCAAUGGGAAGCGUGGAUCCAGUAAGGCCUUCCGGCCAAUUUGACAGAGGUAGGGGAGAUCAGGAGAACUUGGAACGGUCCGUCAAAUCUUGGUUCCAGGGUGUGUUUUCGCACAAAUUUCUUGACCAGAACCCAGUCACCGGGGAGCAGACUGUGGUUGCCUGUGUCAGAAUCAGGAUCUGGAAUUGAAGAGAAAACUUGGGCAUGGAUUUUGUUCAAAGCAUUGGCAAGUUCAGUUACAUAAUCUACUAAAACAUCAGUUUGAAGUUGUAGUUGUUGGGGAAAAUAGCAACCUAGCCUAGGUACAGUCCCAAAUAGAAUCUCAUAUGGGGACAGUGAGGUAGUAUUUUUGUACAAGAGCAUUCAUUAGAUCCUUUGAUAAAUGUGCAGGUCCGUGUGCCCAUUGUACGACUGCUGGGUACAAAUUCUUAGGGAGGCAGAAAUUGAGGUUGUUGGAGUACACUCCAUCCUUCAGAACUGCCCCUUUCUGUUUCCAUUUUUGUAUUUCUUCAGGAGCAACUGCAGCCUGUUGUUCCCGUAGGGUUUUUAGAUCAGUUGGAAGUGUCUGCAAGGUAAAUGUGGGAGUUUCUUCGUUUCCGGACACACUUCUGUCCACUUCCUGUAGUUCUCUUGCAGCUUGUUUUGCAACUUGAUCAGCCAGAUGGUUGCCCCUUGCUUUAUCCGAAUCCAACUUCCCAUGUGCCUUUACCUUCAGAAUGGCCACUUCUUCUGGGAGUAGGAGGGCAUCCAUCAGCUCCUUGAUUGCAGAACUGUGCUUAACUGGUGUACCGGCAGUGGUAAGAAAUCCUCUUGUUUUCCAAAUUAAUCCGAAGUCAUGAGCCACGUCCAGUGCAUAUCUUGAAUCUGUGUUUCCUUCAGAGAUCUUGCAUGC